AUUGAACGCUGGCGGCAGGCCUAAUACAUGCAAGUAGGACGCAGUUGCGAACGGGUGAGUAACGCGUAGGUAACUACCUAUUAGAGGGGGCUAACUAUUGGAAACGAUAGCUAAUACCGCCUACUAGUAGAUUGACCUGCGUUGUAUUAGCUAGUAGGUCGGGGAAUGGCCUACCUAGGCAACGUGACAUAGCCGACCUGAGAGGGUGAGCGGCCAAACUGGGACUGAGACACGGGCCAGACUCCUACGGGAGGCAGCAGUAGGGAAACUGCGGCAAUGGGGGGAACCCUGACCGAGCAACGCCGCGGGAGUGAAGAAGGUUUUCGGAUCGUAAAGCUCUGUUGUUAAGGAAGCGGUACUUAACCAGAAAGGGACGGCUAACUACGUGCCAGCAGCCGCGGUAAUAC
rnacentral:rRNA from 1 species